GUGCAGGGAGUGCCUCUGUGUGCGGUGGGGUGGCAGUGUAUGUUAGCUGGUUGAAACUCUUGACAUCAGCUAACACGCAGUUGCUAACCUGCUCCACAUACCUUUAGCAUCAAACUGG
rnacentral:precursor_RNA from 7 species